UAAUAUUUAAACCAAUCUAUUAGGUAUUUUAAUUUAUAUAUUUUUAAUAAUAUUAUAAAUUUAUGUAAAAUUUUAGAGACAUUAUUAUUUAAAUAUAUAUAUAUGUAAUAAUAUAUAUAUAAUUAUAUUUUUCAAUGGAUAAAUGCUAUAAAUGAUUGAAUAAUAUAUUAUUAUUAUAAUAAUAUACUUAUUUUAAAUUGUAAGAAUACACAUAUAUUAGAUAUAUAUUAGUAA
rnacentral:tRNA from 1 species